rnacentral:lncRNA from 1 species
UCAGCUUACACUUACUAUUAUCAGGACAACAUUGCAAUCCUCCUUUAUAAUUUGGACUCAAAGCUUCUCCAUUUUCAUCCUUUGUAACACCAUACAAAUCACACUUACACUCAGUACACCCCAUUCUAUCUUCUACACCUAGUAUCAAUAGCAUGAACAUUAAUAAACCAUUUUUCCACAUACCCUUUUGGAAUUUCUUCAGGAUUACCAACUUCUAUGCCAUAAGGGUCAGGAAUAUAUGUAUUUGUGCCUCUUGUUUCAGAUCCAAGACCAUAGUAUUGUCCAAAAACAUUCUCUUGACAAAAUCCAUUGUUUCUUUUAAAAAUAAUACCUUCUUCACUAUUGUUUGCCACAUUUUUAGGUUGGUGAUAUCUUACAACAAUCCAAUGAUGUAGAUAAGUUUGAUGGAGAGGUACUGAAUUCCCUGAUUCAUUAACUACUUCAGCAAAGAAACUCUUGAGUGAAAUAUGACCUCUUGGAAAAUCAACAUCCAUAAAUACUUUAUUUGAAACAGAUCCUGGAUUUAGUUCAAUCUUGGGAGAGAAGAAAACUUUUGUUUGAAUAUUUUUUUUGGUCUUCCUAGAAGCAGCUAAUGAGAAUAGUGUGCUUGAUAACAACACUAGUGCUAGGAUUGCCCAUGAAAGGUUCCUAGUCUGUGAUACAAACCUCAUGUUGAUCUGUUUAUAAGAAGGCAUUAAGUUAACCAUGCCAAAUAUGAUAUUCACUUACUAAGUAAUAUGAAAACAUAUAUAGAUUUGACUCCUUUAUAGUAAAUAUUUGAAGUGAUCAAUUUACUUUAUAAAUGAAGAUUUUUUUUUAUCUGCAAAUAAAAAAAAGUAAAAUAUGUAAUAUGUAGUUAUUAUUAUUUUUAUUAUAAAAAAUUCGAAUGUCAUUUUUCACGAAAAAUCAAACUUCAUUUUGAAGGAUGAUGGACUUGGAUUGUAUAGGGCAACAAACUAUACACCCUUAGAUUUAGAGAGAAAAAUUAUCUCCUAAUUAAUCUAUCAUAGAAGCUCUCACAUUUCUAUGCAUAUCAAGAAAAUGAUGGUAAAAGAAACUACACUCAAAGUUAAGAAAAUGAUUGAAAACCACAUCAAAUUGCAUUUCUUUUGUAUGAAAAGAGCUAGCUAGAAUAUUAUUAGCUACUGCUACUAUACAACUAAUAAUAAGACAAAAUUGAUGAAGAAAUAUAAGCAAAUCAUGUUAUCUUUGAUAAGCAAAACUCAGAAAAGAUGGAUAUUUAUGUUUAUGCCAACAAUGAUGAUGAUGAUUAAGUGUGAAGGAACGUACCUCAAAAACCUGGGAAUAAAUUAUUCUUGAAAAUAAUAGUGUAGCAUUUAGCAAUUAUUAAAAGAUGGUUCAAAAACUGUUAAGCUUGAAACAAAUAUUUAUUCACCAAAAGAUGGAACAAUGUGCCUUUUCAGAUGUUCCAAAGCCAAGCUAUGCGUUUACCAAAUAUGGACAGUAAGAUUCAAUGCUUCUAAUAGGGUCGAAUGAAUGUACUCGGAGACUAACUAUAAAAUACAGCAUUCUUUUUUGACUAACAAUAUUUAUGUUCCUCUUAUUGUAGGACCCACAACAUGUGGUUAUCCAGCAAAGAUACAAUUGAUUACGAUGCAUUAAAUGCAUGUUGCAUGUGUUCCAGAUCGUAGGGCACAAAGUUUGAAAGCAUGUUACAGGUGUUCACACUUUAGGUGUAUGACUUUGGUAAGAGGAGUGCAUUAGUUUCAACUCUCCAUGUUAAAUACUUCAUCUCAAGUAAAGGAUGUCAUAUUCAAUGAAGAAAUUACUAGAAGAAAAGACUUGGGAGCAACUUGUUCAGAGGCCCUUGUCACAAAGCACAGAGGGGGAAAUGUUUAUUUGAAAAGCAUCAAAGAAUAUCUUUUAGUAUAACUUCAAAACUAAAGGCUGAUAUAUUGGAUAUGGUGUUAUUUACACUUAAAAAUAAUUAUCAUUUUAGCCGAACUCGAUAAAUAGGUGAUGACGCAAUCAUGCAAGAAUGCUCCUCUCUAUAGUAUAGGGUAUGCGAUGCUAGAAAAACUGAGUGAGGAAGAUGAUUCUUUCAAGGCCAUCAAAUCAAUAUGUUGGUCGUUAAAUGCUCAAAAAUUGAGUCACAAGCAUAGCGGGAGUGGACAAUGACACAUUACCCACGAUCCCUAUCCCUGCUUUCAACGCCAAUAGUUAUUCCAAGGAAUGAGGAAAGAGACACAAUUUUUAGUGGAUCCACACAUAAAGAGACCUUGUCAACAGGUCAUGCUGAGAAGAGGAAAGUGAGGCCAAACAUGGGGUGCCACGAUCCCACUACCAAGAGAGCUAUCACGCAACAUCCGUGAAAAUUAUCCGAAUAGGGGUUAUGCACGGUACGCCAUGUUGAUUGGCUAAUAUGCAAUAGUCAAACUAUAAUUACAUUCGGGGGCGGAGUGCAUGGGAUGGGGUGCGUCACGGCCCACCCAGAAAAAUAAAAAAAUUAACGACCGUAUGUCUAUUUUGCGAGAUUUUAAACAAUUUUGAUGCGGUUUUAGAGUCCGACAGAUCUAAAUCCCCAUUAAUUGGUGUAGUGGCCCACCUAGAAAAUUAAAAAAUUAAAAAUUAUAGGUUUAUUUUACGAGUUUUUAAACAAUUUUUCAAUGGUUUAGGUUUUCGACGGUUCUAAAAGUAACAUGUGAUUUUUGUCAUGCUUAUACUUGUUUUGGUAGCGGAGGUUUACAUACCUUCUAAUUUUUCGGGUUUUCAAAUCUCCUUUAUAUUGUCUUGUCAAUUGAAAAUUCCUUCAAUUAACAGUUGUAUUAAACAAAAAAGAUUCGUAAUUUAUACCAGUAGUAAACUAUGUAAUUCAUUUUUUUAAAGUACUCAAACUUUUUAGUCAAACUUUUAAUGGCCCACCCAAACUAUUUUUUCUAACUCCGCCACUAAUUACAUUGUAAUUCACAUCCAAUCAACCUAACAAACUUAUUUUUGAAAAUUUAUCCUUUUGCUUCAAGCAGGUAAGAUACAUUUGACACGGAGGUCACCUAAAGUAGUAAAACAAAUUGGCAUCCCGCAAUUUCUGCCUUAUGGCAUAAUUGUGCACUAGUAAAACAAACAUGUCUCGCGAUUGAGGACACGACUAUGAACUAGUAGGAGAAAUCUCACAUCAAGUUUAGGACUACCAGACGGAAUAUCCACAAACAAGUUUUCCACCUGCAUCGGCUAAUCCUGAACAUACCUUCUACGACUCGAUGCUUCUGUACCAACCCUGGUGGGUUUGAAGAGACCUCGACUAGCAGUAAAUUAUGUUGAUGAACAACCAUGAAUCAUGAAUCCACUUUGCCAAUAUAACCUUAUAUUAGCUCAAGCGACUCAUUAGAGAAACAAUGGUGUAGCCGAGGUAAGGCCUCUAGCUUAUAGCCGAUACAAUUCAAGGGGUACUUUGGGAUACAAUUGAAACCAAUGGAUAUGCAUGAGUAUAGGAAGCCAUAUCUAUAAUGGGUAGACAAUUUGGUGCCUCUGUCCAUAGGAGAUAAGAAUCUUGACUUUGCUACCUUAUCGUUGGCAUGAACAACUUUCUCGUGGUACUCUUACCUCCCACCAAACUUAAUCCAAAAUGGAAAGGUGUUUCCAUGACAUGUUUUAUUGGUCUCAACCAGAAGUAAUGUCAACUAAUUUGAUGAAUUUUACACAACAAGUAGAUAAAUCAGUUGUUGACUUCAUUGAGAGGUCCAUGGAGACUGCUGAGAAAUGUUUGGUAUAAUUUCUCGACAUUGAAUAUGCAUCAAUGGCUAUCAAUAGCAUGCAUCCACAUCUAAAAGAGAAAUUGGUUAGGUUAGACAGUCAUGACCUGAACAAAUUGGUUUCCCGAGGAGCACACAGAGCAGUUCAUUCAAGAAAGAAAAAAAAAAGAGUGUUAGCUAAGGGAGAGGUCCAUACCUAAAUCUAUCAUAAAAAUGGCAAGUUUGAUGAUGAUGAUGAUGAUGUGUUGGCCGAUAUAACAACAAAUAUACUAAAGGCUGAAAUCCCGAAAGGGAAAACCUAUAUGUGUCCUGCCUUGAGGUCAAUCAAAGGGAAGAACACCAAUAUCCAUCCUAAGACCGCAAUGUUUAUGCCUUUGACAUAACGAAAGUUGACCAUAUAUUUGAUCAUUUGCUAAAAAAGAAAAGCAGAUUCAGCGACUAGAUGGUCACAUGACCCCUCGACCGAGGAGAUCAAAGGCCAAAUGUAUUAUAAAUGGUACAAUUCCUAUAACCACUCAACCGAUAACUGCAUGAUCUUCCGAAGGACCAUUCAAAACACAAUCAAGGAAGGAGGAUUCAAGUUAGCGGAUAUGGAGUUUCGGAAAUGUUCAUUAACACCAAUUCUUUUCUAGCCAUGGAGAUGACCGUGGUAUCCGUCUCUAAGCCAAGUGGGUUCAUGAUUGCUGGGAAAGGAAAGAAGUUGAUCAUGCAGGUGAAGAGAAUAUAUCAAAAGUGAACUGAAAUGAUAGGGUACAACAUUAUAUAAAGAAGUUAUUCACGCACGAUUAACUAACCAACUUCGUAAUUCUUAGUUUAACUUAAAACUAACCAAACACAACAUAAUAGAAGAAACAACUAAACGAUAACAUAAAUCAAACUGAAAUUUAAAUUAAGUUUUACAUUAUCAAAGCAAUCUAUCGUAUAUUAUUACUACACAGAACGAUAGAAAUGUUAAACACGGUAAGGUGGUAGUUUUUCUGCCACCAAGAAAUAGAAAAGCCCCAUCACUCCAGAGUAUCUUAUGUUGCUGCUGUGGUUAGCCUCUAAAGUUAAAAUUUCACCAUCAAAUAUCUUGAUAGAACCUGGUAUAGGGUAACAAGUUGACAUUCCUACAACAUACCCUUUCUCAUCUCCUGCCCUCCUUCCUUUUCCAUAUUUUGGGAUUGAAGUACAUAUAACCCUCCCAUCCUGGCAUUGAUGUCGCAAUCAAAUUUUCAAAACUUGGAUACAAUAUUUAACUAAAACACUAAAAUGGCAAUAUACCCAAUAUAUAACUUUGAUUUGAGAAAAAUGCAAAUUUAGAACUCCUUUUUAUUUUGAGAAAUUAUUUUUGUACAAUCGGUUUUAAACUUUUGAUGGUUAAUUAGGUUCUAUAGAUGAUUAAGAGCUAUACUAGGUGUCAAAACUCGUCAAACAUCAGUGGCAGAUCUUGCCUAAAAUAUUAAGGGGAUCUAAAAAUACUAAAGUAAAAGUCAUAGUCAUUUCCCCCAAAUGUGAGAUGUAUUUUUGUAUCUUCCUAAGUUAUUUUAUGUAAAAAAAAUUGGUGGGGGUGCUCCCUUGGGCUUCUUAAGAGCUCCGCCGCUGCAUCAACAUAACUUCAUCAACAACGAUAGUUGAUGUGGUUAACCAUAAUUUACGAGUUUUGAUGGAGAUCAUUUGAACAUCUAAAAAAUUAUGGUUAAUCACGUCGAAAUAUGUCUUUUAAAAAAACACGUUUAUAUUUGUUGUUGAUGAAGAAACAAUGAUGGUUAAUAAAGAUAAAUUUAUUAUUCUUUUACUUAGCAUAAUAAGCCACAUAUUUAAACCAUGAGAACCAUUUAAAAAGUUGUGGUUAAAAUAGACAAAAUUUAAUUGUUGAAAUAACACAACUUAUUUAGUUUUAAGCUACUCAAUGCUGCAAUAUUUUCAUGUAUGUAGGCACCAUGUAACUUCAAAGUAGUAUUCAAAAGUUAACACUUAUUGUGAUAAUUUAAUGUCACCUGUCCAUAUAGAGUUGAUCCAAUUGCACCUGAAUGCUGAUGGCCAACUCCAUAUAUGACAUAACCGCCGUUUUGCAUUGGGAAGCUUGCUCUCUUGACAUCAACACAACUACUGCGAUUCACAAAACUUGUGUUGCAAGGUUCAACUUCAUACUCAAGCUGUAUAUGUAACAAAGAAUAUAUGUUAAUCACACGAACUAGUAUUAUAUAUAUUUUUCUAAUAAAAUUGAGAUUCAAAUAUGAAUUUAAUUACUAUGCAUAAUUAACAGUGUAAAAACAUUUUAUGUACACAUCUAAUCUAAUCAUAACAUGUAUCAACCUGACUCUGACAGUACCAAUCGACGAGAUUUCAACAAAUUUGUACGUUUAAUCAAUGAUAAAUACAAUAUAUAACAUAUGAUCAUUUGGCUUACCUUGCAAUCAUGGUUUGGUCUCAUUCCUUUGGACUUAUCUGAAAUCUUCAAAGUAUCAGUCACAUCAAAUAUAUAAAUCUUAACAGGAAUCAUAUACUUUUCCCAAUUAACCCAAGUAAUAGUGUAUUUCAAAUAAACACUUUGUUUUGGUCCUAAAAACCCUUUACUCAGCUUACACUUACUAUUAUCAGGACAACAUUGCAAUCCCCCCUUAUAAUUUGGACUCAAUAUUUUUCCAUUUUCAUCCUUUGUAACAUUAUACAAAUCACACUUACACUCAAUACACCCCAUUCUAUCUUCUACACCCCUAGUAUCAAUAGCAUGAACAUUAAUCAACCAUUUUUCCACAUACCCUUUUGGAAUUUCUUCAUGAUUACCAACUUCUAUUCCAUAAGGUUGAGGAAUAUAUGUAUUUGUGCCUCUUGUUUCAGAUCCAAGACCAUAGUAUUGUCCAAAAACAUUCUCUUGACAAAAUCCAUGAUUUCUUUUAAAAAUAAAACCUUGUUGGCUAUUGUUUGUCACAUUUUUAGGUUGGUGGUAUCUCACAACAACCCAAUGGUGUAGAUAAGUUUGAUGGAGAGGUAUUGAAUGCCCUGAUUCAUCAACUACUUCAGCAAAGAAAUUUUUGACUGAAAUAUGACCACUUGGAAAAUCAACAUCAUAAUAUAUUUUAUUUGAAACAGAUCCUGGACUUAGUUCAAUCUUGGGAGAGAAAAAAACUUGUGUUUGAAUAAUUUUUUUGGUCUUCCUAAAAGCAUAUGAUGAGAAUGGUGUGCUUGACAACAACACUAGUGCUAGGAUUGCCCAUAAAAGGUUCCUUGUUUGUGAUACAAACCUCAUCUUGAUCUGUUUAUACAAAACAAAUAAUUAAAAGCAAUUGCAUAUAUAGAAGUCAUUAAACCAUGCCAAGUAAAAUGAAAACAUAUAUAGAUUUGGUUCGUGUAUAGUAAAAUAUUUGAAGUCAAUCAAUUCACUUUAUAAAUGAGGAUUUUUUUUAUGUGCAAAUAAAAAAAAGUAAAAGAAGUAAAAUGUGUAAUUAUUACUUUUUUUACUGUAAAAAUUGGUUAUAAUACAUGUUUACCCUUUUAAUAUUAGCGAUUUUCGGUUUACCUCCUGUAAAAAAAAAUUAGAUUUCAACUCUGUAAUUUGAAGAUUCGGUUUUGGACCUUCACGACUUUUGACUGUACAAAAUUGAUGAUAUGGCAGGAGGGUAAACCGAAAUUAUCCCAAAUUACAAGAGGCGAAAGUACCUUAAAUUUUGUAAUUUGAUGCUAUGAAGGUCCAAAACCAAAGAAUUUUCAAAUUACAGGGUUGAAAUCUAAACAAAAAUAUUUUUACAGAGGGUGAAACGAAAAUUGCUAAUAUUACAGAGGAUAAUCAUAUAUUAACCCAAAUUUGUAUGUUAUUUUUCACUCAAAAUCAAACUUCAUUUUGAAGGAUGAUGGACUUGGAUUGUAUAGUGCAACAAAUUAUACACCCUUAGAUUUAGAGAGAAAAAUUAUCUCCUAAUUAAUCUAUCAUAGAAGCUCUCACAUUUCUAUGCAUAUCAAGAAAAUGAUGGUAAAAGAAACUGCACUCAAAGCAUCAAAUUGCAUUUCUUUUGUUUGAAAAGAGCUAGCUAGAAUACUACUACUAGCUACUGCUACUAUACUCCUAAUAAUAAGACAAAAUUGAUGAACAAACAUAAGCAAAGAUGGAUAUUCAUGUUUAUGUCAAUGAUGAUGAUGAUUAAGUGUGAAGGAACGUACCUCAGAAACUUGGGAAGGAAUUAUUCUUGAAAAUGAUAGUGUAGCAUUUAGCAACUAUAUAUUAAAAGAUGGUUCAAAAUCGUUAAGCUUGAAACAAAUAUAUAUUCACCAAAAGAUGUUGCAAUGUGCCUUUUCAAAUGUUCCAAAUAUGGUUGUAACAAAACAAAGAUUAUCCAAAUAUGGACAGUAAGAUUCAAUGCUUCUAAAUGAAUAGGGUCGAAUGAAUCACUUGGAGACUAACUAUAAAAUAUUCUUUUUUUGACUAACAAUGUUAUGUUCCUCUUAUAGGACCCCCAACAUGUAUAAAACAGCUUAUUUGAUUAAAGCCUAACAUAUGUUUUUUUUUUUUUUUUUUUUAUAUAAAAAGUUAGAUAGGUUUUCCAAGUGAUAAUUAGAAGCACAUGGAAGAUUGUUAUUGUCUCCAUUGAAAUGGUUUAUCUAAAUCAAACGGAUCAUAUAACCAGACUAGAAUAAAUUUGGGAAAUACUAACAAGUGUCUUGAGGGUAUUUGUUAACAAGUUCAAAAACAAAACUUUAUCUUAAAAAUGAUACAUUCAAUACAUUGAAACUUUAAAAAAUAUUUUUUUUUAUAUAGAAUUUUUCAAUAAUUUCUAUUCUUGAAUCUUAUUAGCAACAUUUAAUAAAUGUUGGUCCCCAAAACACUUAAAAGAAACUUUAGUUUUAAAAUAGUAAAUAAUUAGAGAAAGAGAAAACACACUCGUGCAAAGCCAAAGAAAGAAAACAUUAUGUAAAUUAAAGGUUUUGGUUUUUUUUUUUUUUUCUUUUCUGGCUUUUGAGUACAUGAUUUAGUGGAAGUUUUGCAACCUUUUAUAGAAGGUGCGUAGAGUUUUUUCACUAUGCAAUUACGUUAGGAUUGCACUUGUACUCCGAUAAAAAAUAAAAAAAAAAGUUGUUUAUAAAAAUAAAAACUGCAAAAUGAGAAUUCCAAGUUUAAAACCAACUCAAAAAUUGAACAUUGAUUGGAAAAUAAAAUAAUGAAUUUAGAUGGAGAAGAAAAUGUGCUUACGAGUAACAACGUCCAAUUGAUGAACACUAGUAAUUUGAGGACCAUAACGAAAUUGUAUAAGCACAAGGAUGUAAUUUUUUUUAAUUGUGGUAUUAGGAUUUCAUUAAAAAUGAUAUCAAAGAUUACAGUUUCUUUUUUAUCACAAAUGUUUUUGACACAUAGGCCCCGUUUUUUUUUGGAUAUUUUUCAAAAGAAAUUUAAUUGUUUCCUAAAAAAAUCACUUUUUAUUUUUAUUUUUAAGUGUUUGUUUAGGAUUUUUAGAAAAAUCAUUUUAUCAAACAAAUAUAUUUUGACUCUAAAAUGAAAAGCUAUUAGGAUUAGCUUUUCUCAAAAUCUUUUUUUUUUUUUAAACAAAGAGGUAACACAUGCACAUGUUAAAACUCAUUUUCUUUAAAAAAAAAAAAAAAAAAAAGGAUUUUUAUGGAUAAUAGGCAAACAAAAAUAACUUCAAUUUUUUUUUUUAAAUCAUUAAAAAUUAAUCUCUAGAUUAUUUUAACACAAAAUUUAUUUUUUUAAAGCUAAAACAAACGCACCCAUAAACUAAUCUAAACAUAUUAGGGACAUGGCGUGCAAAGUUUUUUUUAAUUAUAAAAAUUAACAUAAUUAAAAAAUAUGUACAGAAAAGUGUGUUACUUACUUGGCUUGCAUAUUCUAAGAAAUGGAAGAUUUCAUCAAGAGAAAGAGAAAGACAUAAAUGAGAUAUUGAUGGAACCAAUUUCUAAAAAGACUUCUAACUUUAUCAACAAAUUAACCAAAAUUUUGUACACAAGGAUAAUGACACAAGAAUAUUACGCGAUAAUGGAAGAUUUCCCUUGGGUCAUUACAUGUGUACAAAAUUUUCCAUUAUCGCGCAAUCUUAUGGAAAAAGACACAUUUACGUGUUGGGUGUAUUUCCAUUCGAUACAGCUAGUGUAAGUAAAGACAAAAGACGUUAAAAAUCUACAUGUGAUGAAGAGUUAUCAAUGAUCCAAGUAAAGAGAAUAAAUCAAAAGGGUACUGAAAUGAUAGGGUACAACAUUACAUAGAUAAGUUGUUCACACAAGAUUAACUAACCAACUUCACAAUUGGUAGCUUAACACAACAUAAUAACAAAAGCAACUAAAUGAUAACAUAAAUCUAACUGAAAUUUAAAUUAAGUUUGAUACUAUCAAAGUAAUCCAUUGUAUAAUUCACCAUACAAAGAAUGAUAGGAAUGUUAAACAUGGUAAUGUGGUAGCUUUUCUGCCACCAAGAAAUAGAAAAGUCCCAUUACUCCAGAGUGACUUAUGUUGCUACUGUAGUUACUCUCUAAUGUUAAAGUCUCACCAUCAAAUAUCUUGAUAGAACCUGGUUUAGGGUAACAUGUUGACAUUCCUACAAUAUACCCUUUCUCAUUUCCUGCUUUCCUUCCUUUUCCGUACUUUGGGAUUGAAGUACAUAUAACUCUCCCAUCCUAACAUUAAUAUCACAGCCAAAAUUUCAAAACUUUGAUCCAAUAUUUAAUUAAAAUAUUAAAGUAAUAAGGGUACAAAGAGUAUAACUAAUAAACGAAGUAAAAGUAGCAUAUAUAGUCUAAUUAUAAAGGUUGAUCACAUUAAAGCAAAAUAUCAAGAUGCCCAAUAUAUAUAAUUGGAUGAGGGAAACCGCAAAUUUAAAACUCAUUUUUUAUUUUGAUAAAUUAUUUUUACACGAACAAUUUUAGAUAACUUGCGCAACAAUUUUUUAAGGGAUUAACAAAGUUUAACUAGAUUGUUAAUUACGUUUGGUAGAUGAUUAAGAGAUAUAUUACAUGUCGAAACUCAUGAAGUGGCAAUGCAACUUCAUCGUUCACGACUUUGAUUGUGGUUUAACCAUAAUUUGCAUGUGUUUAACUACAUGUAGAUUUGCAUAUAUCUUAAAAAGGGUUAUAAGGGGGUAAAUAAAAAAAAAUUACACGAGGAAAAAUCGGAAAUGACUUAUAUUACAGGGAGAUAAAGCACUAUUAACCCUCUUAAAAAUUAUGUUAAUCAAGUUUAAACACAUUGAUGAUUCAUGAGUUUUUAUACCAGAUAUUUCCCUUAAUCAUUUUCUUAACGUAGUUAAAUACUUAUUUGUACUCCGUUAACCAUUUAAAAGUUGUGGUAAAAGUUGAACAAUUUUAAUUUUUCAAAUAACACAACUUAUUUAUUUUUAAGGUAUGUAUGCACAGGGACCGGACCCAUAAAUAUUGUAUAAUGAGGGCCAUGUCAAAUGACGGACCCAAAAUUUUUAAAUGAUGUAGGUAACACAUGUAACAUUUCAUUUUUAAAAGCAUAAAUAUACAUAAUAAUUAUCUCUACGGUUUUUCAUAUCUUAAAAUAUUGAAUGAUUUUCUCAUUUACAGUGUCAAUAAGAACACACUCGAUAUAAAAAAUCAAACAAUUUUUUCAUUUUAUCAUUCAUUUCUCUAGAGAUUUCGCACCUGAUUUUUGAUAGCAGAAAGAUCUUUUUCAAUUGUUACAGUUGUCGCAGUUAAUAUCAAAAACUACUCUGAAAGCAAAUAUAUCAACAGAAAAGUAAACACUAUCAAAACUAAUAGUAUAAAUUCACUCGAAUAAUCAGAACUCAUACUCAAAUAAGCACUACCUACCAAAAUAAUUAUAUAUAUUAUGUGUUAUUAAAUUAUUAAAAUAAAUAAUAUAUCUUCCCCUUAAUUCUCUCUAUGUUGUUCCUUUUGUAUAUAUAUUAUAAUAUAAUAAUAAUCUAUAUUGUAUAGACUAUACACUUCUAUUAUCUAUGAAGUCAUUACUUUAAGGUAAAAAAAACUUAAUAAUCUGGAACUAGAACUACACAUAGCCAAAAGGUAAUACCAAGAAAAUACUAUCUUACCACCAACACAAUAGAAGGGUAUUAAUUUUUUAUUUUCAUUUUCAAAUCAAGUGAAGGCCCAGGCCCACAUCAUGCUCUACAUGGGUCCGUCCGUGUGUAUGCACCAUGUCACUAGUGAGCAGUGGUAUUCAAAUAUUAACAAUGAUUGCAAUUAUAAUGUUCACCUUUCCAUAUAGAGUUGAUCCAAUUGCACCUGAAUGUUGAUGACCAACUCCAUAGAUGAGAUAACCACCAUUUUGCAUUGGGAAGCUUGUUCUCUUGACAUCGACACAACUACUUGGAUUCUCAAAACUUGUGUUGCAAGUUUCAACUUCAUAUUCAAUCUGUAUAUGUAACAAAGAAUUUAUGUUACUCACACAUGAACUAGUAUUAUAUAUUUUUUUUUCUUGUUAAAUUGAGAUUCAAAUAGGAUUUUAAUAAUUAUGCAUCAACUAUGUAAAAAUAUUUAUAUACACAUCAAAUUAUAUUAACUAUAUAGAUAUAUGAACAAGUAUAUUCGAAAGUAAAAUUACAUAACUCGAAGAACUAAGUAUAUACUUAUGUUUCUCUCAAAAAAAGUAUAUACUUAUGUUAGAAUCCUUUCUUUAGACUUAUAUCAAAAGAAAGCAACAUAUAAGUGUACAUAUGAAUUGCACAAAAGUCAUAACAUGUAUUAGGCCGAGACACUAAUACCAAUUGAUGUGAUUUCAACAAAUUUGUAGGAAAUACAAUAUAUAACAAAUGAUCAUGUUAUGUCCUAUCAUGUUGAAGGAAAUUAAAUUUUUAUAUAAAUUAUAUUUUGAUUUGGCUUACCUUGCAAUCAUGGUUUAGUCUCUUUUCUUUAGACUUAUCUGAAAUCUUCAAACUAUCAGUCACAUCAAAUAUAUAAAUCUUGACAGGCACCAUAUACUUUUUCCAUUUGAUCCACAUAAUAGUGUAUUUUAAAUAAAGAUUUUGUUUUGGUCCUAAAAAUCCUUUACUCAACUUACACUUACUAUUAUCAGGACAACAUUGCAAUCCCCCCUUAUAAUUUGGACUCAAUAUUUUUCCAUUUUCAUCCUUUGUAACAUUAUACAAAUCACACUUACACUCAAUACACCCCAUUCUAUCUUCCACACCCCUGGUAUCAAUAGCAUGAACAU